AGAGUUUGAUCCUGGCUCAGGAUGAACGCUGGCGGUAUGCUUAACACAUGCAAGUCGAACGGAGUCCUUCGGGACUUAGUGGCGGACGGGUGAGUAACACGUGAGAAUCUGGCUUCAGGUCGGGGACAACAGUGGGAAACCGCUGCUAAUACCGGAUGUGCCCAAGGGUGAAAGAUUUAUCGCCUGAAGAUGAGCUCGCGACUGAUUAGCUAGUUGGUAGGGUAAGAGCCUACCAAGGCCAUGAUCAGUAACUGGUCUGAGAGGAUGAUCAGCCACAUUGGGACUGAGACACGGCCCAAACUCCUACGGGAGGCAGCAGUGGGGAAUAUUGGACAAUGGGCGCAAGCCUGAUCCAGCCAUGCCGCGUGAGUGAUGAAGGCCUUAGGGUUGUAAAGCUCUUUCGGCGGGGACGAUAAUGACGGUACCCGCAGAAGAAGCCCCGGCUAACUUCGUGCCAGCAGCCGCGGUAAUACGAAGGGGGCUAGCGUUGUUCGGAAUCACUGGGCGUAAAGGGCGCGUAGGCGGCUUGAUAAGUCGGGGGUGAAAGCCUGUGGCUCAACCACAGAAUUGCCUUCGAUACUGUCUGGCUUGAGACCGGAAGAGGUAAGUGGAACUGCGAGUGUAGAGGUGAAAUUCGUAGAUAUUCGCAAGAACACCAGUGGCGAAGGCGGCUUACUGGUCCGGUUCUGACGCUGAGGCGCGAAAGCGUGGGGAGCAAACAGGAUUAGAUACCCCCGUAGUCC
rnacentral:rRNA from 2 species